CAUCGAGUCUGAUAUCGUGCCUCUGACAGUGACCCAUAACUCAUGAUCCAGAGGAAAGUGACAGUUCCUUUCACAGGAGUUUGCCAGAAUCACAAAAUGCUUCAGUCAUGAGUUAAAGAGAAAAGGAAGGCCUUAAGGUGAGAUUUAAAGAGGAAGUGACUCAGUGGUUCAGUGGAGCAUUCCAGAUGGACGGAGCAGCAUGAGCAAAAGAGAGACACCCAACUGUGAAAGGCCAUAGGGAGAAGAUAGAGAGAAGGCCAAGACUGGAGAAGCUGAAUGAGUGAGUGAGGAAGUAGAGAACCAUUAAAGCAUGCUAUCCUACUUUCUUGGAAACGGUUGAUAAGUGUCAAAUGGUAUCUAAUUCUGAACAAGCUUGUCAUCACGUGAGAAAAGGACAUGAUCUGUCUGAAAGAAUUGUGUAUUAUAAAUUUUUGGCCCAAUAAAAAGUACAACUCUUCCUAUUGCUGCUAAUGUUACCAUACUGAAUGAUUGAAAAUCCAGCUACAUCUAGCAUAGGCUCAUUGUUGGAGCUGAAGCCUCAGAUGUGCACUGAAUGGCAAAUGGCAUACCCAAAAAACUCAGAUGGAAACGCAGAUUUCCCAGUGAAAAAAGAAUUAUAUGUUUUUUUCCAAGAACUCUGCUGUCAUGCAGAAGAAAAGCUUAGCUUCUACGCAAAGUCUGAGCAAAGAAAAGAAAAGUAGGAAAGAAAGAAAAAGAUGUUGCUUGGGAAUUUCAGUGGAAAAGCUAGCUUAAAAAAAUCUUAUUGGCACAGCCUUUUGGUUUUUAAUAAAGAUUAAAUCCUUCUGUGACAAA